CUUGGUUAGGAUGCCGGGCCUUGUGGGAGUCCGGACCAGGCCUCCCCUUUACAUGGCUCCAUCCUCCUCCUCCUCCUCCUCCUGCUGCAUCUUUCCUCUUGCUGACCUGUGGGCAGCACGGGUGUAGAGGCUGCCUGGGCUGAGGGCGAGAGGUGACCGACAGGUUUCUGUCUGUGGUAGCACAGUUGCUCUCCAGCAAAGGGUUAUUCUACCUCGUUACUAUAGCAGAUAAUGAUCCAGAGGAGAUUAUCCGUCAUGCUUGUCGACCAGAGCUGGAAAUGAGA